GAUUCCAGCUGUAGAGGAAAUUUUGAUCUAGACAAGAAGAACGAAAUUCUUUACCAUAGUUGGGAGAAGCAUCUUAAAAUGAGUAAAAUUACAAAGUUUGGUUCCGAAUAACCAUUUUUGCAAUUGAGCCGAAAGUGGUUAUUUUUAUCGCGUGUAUUAAAUACAAAUAUAUACAAAAUUUGCGAACUUCACAGGGCUAUAUUUUCUACAUUUUGCAGCAGUUAGCAACCAAUCUUUGCAGUUUUACUCAUUCUUAGACGCGCUUUCUAGCUGUGGUGUUGGAUUUCGUUCUUCCUGCCCUGAUCAAAAUUUAGUCUAUAGCUGGAAUC